UACGGGGGGGGUAAGCGUUGUUCGGAAUUACUGGGCGUAAAGGGCUCGUAGGCGGUUUGUCGCGUCGGGAGUGAAAACCCAGGGCUUAACCCUGGGCUGGCUUCCGAUACGGGCAGACUAGAGGUAUGCAGGGGAGAACGGAAUUCCUGGUGUAGCGGUGAAAUGCGCAGAUAUCAGGAGGAACACCGGUGGCGAAGGCGGUUCUCUGGGCAUUACCUGACGCUGAGGAGCGAAAGUGUGGGGAGCGAACAGG
rnacentral:rRNA from 1 species